AGAGUUGUAGUCCUCGCGUCAUAGGACGAACGCUGGCGGCGUGCUUAACACAUGCAAGUCGAACGAUGAUGCCCAGCUUGCUGGGUGGAUUAGUGGCGAACGGGUGAGUAACACGUGAGUAACCUGCCCCUGACUCUGGGAUAAGCGUUGGAAACGACGUCUAAUACUGGAUAUGAUCACUGGCCGCAUGGUCUGGUGGUGGAAAGAUUUUUUGGUUGGGGAUGGACUCGCGGCCUAUCAGCUUGUUGGUGAGGUAAUGGCUCACCAAGGCGACGACGGGUAGCCGGCCUGAGAGGGUGACCGGCCACACUGGGACUGAGACACGGCCCAGACUCCUACGGGAGGCAGCAGUGGGGAAUAUUGCACAAUGGGCGAAAGCCUGAUGCAGCAACGCCGCGUGAGGGAUGACGGCCUUCGGGUUGUAAACCUCCUUUUAGUAGGGAAGAAGCGAAAGUGACGGUACCUGCAGAAAAAGCACCGGCUAACUACGUG
rnacentral:rRNA from 1 species